rfam:Staphylococcus aureus subsp. aureus NCTC 8325, complete genome.
UGGGUGAUGCGGAAAAUUUGGGUGAUCGAUUGUUUAUAUGCAUCAACAUUCUUUGUGGAUUGUUUGACAGUAGACAGUCAUUUGUAUACGUUAACGAAUUUUGAAAAAUUGAAUCAUUAUUUAAUCAUAAUAUUCAUUGCGCACGCGCAAC